rnacentral:rRNA from 2 species
GAAAAGAAACCAACAGGGAUUGCCUCAGUAACGGCGAGUGAAGCGGCAACAGCUCAAAUUUGAAAUCUGGGGCCUUCGGCUCCCGAGUUGUAAUUUGUAGAGGAUGCCUCGGGGGGUGCUUCGGCCCAAGUUCCUUGGAACAGGAUACCACAGAGGGUGAGAGUCCCGUAUCCGGCCGGCAGUACCCUCCGCGCGAGGCUCCUUCGACGAGUCGAGUUGUUUGGGAAUGCAGCUCUAAGCGGGUGGUAAAUUCCAUCUAAAGCUAAAUACUGGCCAGAGACCGAUAGCGAACAAGUAGAGUGAUCGAAAGAUGAAAAGCACUUUGAAAAGAGAGUCAAACAGUACGUGAAAUUGUUGAAAGGGAAGCGUAUGGGGGCAGACUUGGCCGCGGGGUUCAGGGUGUCUUUUGGCGCCUGUACUUCCCCGUGGGCAGGCCAGCAUCGGUUUUGGGGGUUGGAUAAAGGCGUCGGGAAUGUGGCUCCCCUCGGGGAGUGUUAUAGCCCGUCGCGCAAUGCAGCCACCCGGGAUCGAGGACCGCGCUUCGGCAAGGAUGCUGGCGUAAUGGCCUCAUACGGCCCGUCUUGAAACACGGACCAAGGAGUCUAACAUCUAUGCGAGUGUUUGGGUGUCAAGCCCGAGCGCGCAAUGAAAGUGAACGGAGGUGGGAGCCCGUAAAAAGGCGCACCAUCGACCGAUCCUGACGUCUUCUGAGGGAUUUGAGUAAGAGCAUAGCUGUUGGGACCCGAAAGAUGGUGAACUAUGCGUGAAUAGGGUGAAGCCAGAGGAAACUCUGGUGGAGGCUCGCAGCGGUUCUGACGUGCAAAUCGAUCGUCAAAUUUGCGUAUAGGGGCGAAAGACUAAUCGA